UAACAAAAUGGCCAUGAACCAGUCAUUUGAGGGUGAUUGAGACAUGGUCAACGGGAAGGACAUACAGGAAGAUGGUGGACUCGACCAGGCGGCUGACCAGGGAUGUGCAUCUGAUGCAGGAGCAUGCUCAGAUGAUUCUUUUGAAGUGUGCAUGUCAUUAACUCUGAAAACAAGAAGCUUGGGACUGGAUGUUUGAUGAACUCCUGAGUCAGCUGAGGUCACUACUGGACGUCAGGGCCGAGGGGCCUCUCCACUCCGCCAGUGUCAUCUCUUGCCGUUGUACAGCCAUUGUCUGGUCACUGUUACUACAAUUAUGGCUAUCAUGUGACCAUGAAGGUCCAGUGUGUCUGAAUGUUGAACUAAUGUACAGAUGUAGGACAGAUUAAGAGGGUCUGACAAUAACUCUGCGCCAGACAGUUUUAUUGAUAGGUCAACAACAAUGAAGUAAUAAAACAUCCAUCUGGAAGAGGAACAAAAGCCAACAGAAAUUUAUACGUGUCAUGAGCCAUGAGCCCCGGCAGCUUCCACCGAACAAUAUGUUACACUUUAGUUCUAGAUCUUGGAGGAAAAAGCAGAGUUCAUUACCAUGAGCUUGUGUUUUUUUUCAUAUACCUGAAAUAAUUCUACAAUAAACAUCCUGAUAAAUGGCUGUCGUUCAGAUUUAGGCAAUAAAAAAAAUCCUUACAAUAGUAAACUGGAACUGGAAAUUUUGAUUAAUUUUAUUGCCUUAUUUUAUUAGUUAGAAGAUUAUCUAGCUUAUUGCAAUAAACCAUGCAUACCAGCUUUUUCAUGUUUAGUACAAUCUGCUACUUGGCUAGAAUAUGUCUUGUCAUGGUAUGUUUUUGCUUGUACUUGGCUUCUACUAAUACUGGCUUCUAUUAGUACUGGCUUCUGCUAGCACUUGGCCUCUACUAGUACUGGCUUCUGCUAGUACUUGGCCUCUACUAGUACUGGCUUCUUCUAGUACUGGCUUCUGCUAGUACUUGGCCUCUACUAGUACUGGCUUCUUCUAAUACUUGGCCUUGCUAAUACUUGGCCUCUACUAAUACUUGACCUCCACUAAUACUUGGCCUCUUCUAGUACUGUUUUUUUCUAGCACAUGGCUUCUACUAGUACAUGGCUUCUACCAAUACUGGCUUAUACUAGUACUGGCUUAUACUAGUACUGGCUUCUAUUAGUACUUGACUUCUACCACAACAUGGCUUCUACUAGUACAUGGCUUUUACAAGUACUGGCUUCUACUAGUUCUUGCUUUUACUAGUACUGGCUUCUAUUAGUACUGACUUCUACCAGUACUGGCUUCUACAAGUACUGGCUUCUACAAGUUCUUGCUUUUACUAGUACUGGCUUCUUCUAGUACUGGCUUCUAUUAUUACUGACUUCUACCAGUACUGGCUUCUACAAGUACUGGCUUC